rnacentral:lncRNA from 1 species
CUUGACUGAAAAAACUAAAGUGAAUAACUUCCCUUUGAUCACAACUCUGACCGAGUGAGUCUUGCAUAACUUGACUUUUUCGAACGUUAUUAACAAGCAUGACCAAAUUUAUCUAUCAAUCUGAAAGUUUCAGCAUGACCAAAUUUAACUAUAAACAACAUGACCACAUUUAGGGACGACAUCAAAAGAUCGAUGUAGGAUAAAAAAAACUUAAAUCAAAUAGUUUGGGGGUGGGGGUGGGGUGGGGGUGGCAACAUUGCUGCAAGUUUUGUUAAUCUAACAUCGAUUUUACAUAUAUCUCUAUUGGUCAAUCAAUUUUUCCCAAAUUAAGUUAAGAGGGGGGAGGGGGGGGGUCAGUGAAAAAACUAUGUGAAUUAAGUUUUUUAUCCUUCAUUGAACUUUUGAUGUCGUCCCUUAUCUAACAAUCUCAGUGUCAAUAGCCUAAGUGCCAAGUUAAUGAGUAAUUCUAAACUAGUUGAGAUGCAAACACCAAGUCAUUACAGAGAGACAAAAAAAAAAAAAAAAAAACCACACCCUGGACAUUCAUACGCAUUAAUAAAAAAUAAACUGUCAAUGCUUUGGCUUAAAAAAAAAUGAUAAACAGACAUUACAUAAAACCCGACAUAAACAUCUAAAGACUAUUAAGACAUACGAACAAAAAAAAAGCUUGGGCUGAUUACAGGUGCUCCGUAAUGGUAAGCAGAUCCUGCUCUACAUUUGGCACCUAUCGUGUUGCUCUUGUAAGUACAAACCUGGUGAUCAGUAUAAUGUGGUAAGUAAAUUUCGGGGGAAAGGGGCGGGAUUGCAAUUAAGAUCAUUCGAACAUAUCCGCCGUCAUAUGGGGGAACCA